GCAGGCGCCUAUUUGUGUUGUCGGCCGGCUUAUUUGUGGUUUGUGUCUCUCCAUUCUGGAUUUUGGUAGUUUGUGAGCGCUCUAGGGUUUUGGGAACUGUGCUGGUGUAGUAGCUGCUGGGACAGGGCGUGAGCCCUUCCUGGCUGUGGCCGGCAGACGUGCCCGGGGGCCACAGGCUACGGCCCUGAGGGACGCCUCAGGAGGACAAAGGAAGGCUGGGGACGCCCAGAUACUUCCGAAGGGGCAGGCGUGGAGUCUGCAUUCCCAGCACAGACGGGGUGGCCAGUAAGGCCUUCUUAUUAUUAGUCUUUUGUAGUUGUAAGGUGCUUUGUUGGUUGUCUUGUUGUUUGUUGAUUGUAUUCUCUUGUCAUUUAGCAUUGUAUGGGGCGCUGUGAUGGCUCCCAUUUGGUAGAUUUGGAAUCUGUGUUUGUAUUGCCAGCAUUGUCGCGUGACUCUGAAGUGGUUCUGGAGUCUGCAUUUGUAGGUUCUGAAGUGGUUCCGGAGCUUGCAUUUGUAUUACCGGCAUCCUCACAGGGCUCUGAGGCGGUUCCAGAGUCUGUGUUUGUAUUGCCAGCAUCAUCGCGACCAGUAGUUUAUCUCAGUUCCUCUACGGACACUUUGUGUGGUUGUUGUGUGCUGAUUCUCUACACUGUUUGUCUGUUCGUGUACAUUGUGAUGUCUGCUAACAUGGGCCAGACUGUGUCUACACCUUUGUCUCUAACUUUAAAUCAUUGGUAGGAGGUAAGCGACCUGGCACAUAACCUCUCUUUGUCAGUCAAGAAGGUAAAGUGGCAGUCUUUCUGUGCCUCUGAAUGGCCAGCUCUGGGAGUGGAUUGGCCCCCGGAGGGCUCUCCAUUUACCACUCAUUCGCCAAGUGAAAGAGGCCGUUCUCUUGCCUGGCCGUCAAGGGCACUCAGACCGGGAUUUUGAGAAGACAUCGGAGGUCAGUAUUCCUUCCCUCAAGCGGGACCGGAUCUGUGGAAGUGACCGUUGAGUGUCCGGCACCCCACAGCUCUCCGAGAACGCGGAGUCCCCCCGGCCACGGCUUAGCUACGGCCGAAACUCCAGAGGGAUUGUAAGGAAUGGGAGGGAAAUUAGGAAGGGCAGUUGGCUGAGAGUCUGGAGACCCCCUGAGCUCGCUUCGGCUUCCCGGCAGCCGGACUGUGACCCGAGCACCAGGUCUCUCUCUCGGAGGGAUGCCUGGUCACGCUGCCUACUGCUACGCGAGCAGGGCUUAGCUUCGGUCGAGGCUAAUAUUGACCCUCAGAAGGGAAGUUACUACUGUUCUGCAGGACUCUCCACUGUGACGUACGGUUUGAUCCCCAGACCUUAUUUAAGGGAUGACUGACCUUUUCUGUAAUAAUGCCUGGCCACAGUAUAGGGCCCCAAACAACAUAAAAAAAGGGGGGAGGGGUUAAACUACUAGAUCAAUUUUUCAGUGUACGCGUUAAAUGGGCAGAACUCCCCUUUUAAACCAAACUAAAAAAAUAGAUAAAAAGUUAAACUGACGACCUCAAAGUAUACAAACAGGUCACCACAGUUGAUCUUACCUAAAGGGUCAUAGUUCUCCUCAUGGGCAGGAAAAUACUAAGUGUCAGAAUUUGCCCAUGACCAUAAUUUUUCUAGCUCACCCUAAUAUUAAAAAAUCUCCAAAAAUCAGGGUUGGGUUGGGCACCCCCCUUGACUGGCAUCAUAGAGGCUGCCUCCAUGGUCCACUUUAUUAGAGACCAGUGGAAUGAGGAGCAAGCUAGCAGCAGGAGCAAUGUAUGGAUGGGCAACAGGCCAAUCAAUGGCUGCUUUACACCGUGAUCUGCCGUCAAGGAGACCCAGCAAGGCCAGUGCACCCCAAACCUGUGCACCUGUUGCUGAUAUAAGGAGCCAGGGCGUUGGGCAAGCAGCUGUCAUAACAGCAAAUGCCUUCUGUCGGCCCUGCCAAGAGCACAGCCACUGGACACGGAACUGCCCUGGGUGUCGAAGGACUCCUGGUUCAGAACCGCAGACCCUGUGGCCCUGAGCCAAAAAGCCUUUGGCUCUGCCCAGCCUCUGCCCAGCUUCCAGCUCCAGCCACUGCUACUGGGGAUGGCUUAGGGUCAGUAAAAUGUAAGUUGCCUAUUUCUAUCAGCCUCCUAUUUAACUCUCCUAGUCCAGCCAUGUAAUGCGAGUCAACAGGGUGCCUCCCUUAAAGGAGAUUUGCAUCUCUUACAAUUUUCUUAACAGCACCCCAUGGAUAGGUCUGGGCCUCACACACCCUGCCAGGCCUUAAAAGUCUAUCCAAUGGUAUUAAACUUAAAAAGCCCUCCCUGCCAGUUCCAGGGGAAAGUGGUCCCCUCCACUCCUGUACUGAGACUAUAGAUGCUUCUCUUUACACCGUGUGUUUUUAAUGCCCUUAUUUGUUUUGUCUCUAACAGACUAAAAGCUGCUAACUCCAAAUGGUCAUCAGGCAAGACUUCCAGCCCAUUCCACUGGACUACCUGAGCAGCCCUCUGGACCGAGCAGUACAGUCUUUCCAAGGCCACUGUUGCACACCAUAAGACAGGUAGCAAGAGGAAAUACCCAAAUCCCCCUCGACGCCCACAUGCCAGCUUUGAAGAAGUUACAGAAGACGGAACUCCAUCCAUAAUCCCAAAGAAGAAUUUUGGGUAUUACCUCUUGAGGAAAAAAUAUUAGGCAGAAAGUCAGUUAUGAGCUUAUGUGUGUGUGACAUAAAGGCCUAAUGUGUCCAGCAUAUGCAUCUGCAUCUCAGUCAUCCUGACAAUGUUUCACGGACAGCCCGGCCUUUGCAUCCUGCCCUGCCCCCUUCUACCUGAUAACCUGCCAGGUGGAGGUCCCCGCCCCUUCUGCCUGACAAAUCUUCCACAAUCUCCCAGAUGCAGCCCAGUAUCUGCAUUUCAGUAUUACAGAACAGGCGGGGGUUAAAUCUCAUUUUCAUGGGGGUGGGUUAUG